AACGCAACUUGCGCCCCUUGGUAUUCCGAGGGGCACGCCUGUUUGAGUGUCGUGAAUUCCUCCACCCACCAUCCUUUUUGUGUUGGUCGGGCUGGGAUCUGGGGGUUUUGUGGGUCCUCUCUGGUCCACUCUCCUUGAAUGCAUGAGUGAAGACCUGUACAGGCCUCGGUGUGAUAUGAUAUCUACGCCACGGCUCUGUGUGGAAUAGUGCUUUGCUUCGAACCGUCCCUCUCUGGGACAAGCUCUAUCGAACACUUGACCUCAAAUCAGGCGGGACUACCCGCUGAACUUAA
rnacentral:misc_RNA from 1 species